rnacentral:rRNA from 1 species
GAUGAACGCUGGCGGCGUGCUUAACACAUGCAAGUCGAACGGAAAGGCUCCUGCUUGCUGGGGUACUCGAGUGGCGAACGGGUGAGUAACACGUGGGUGAUCUGCCCUGCACUUCGGGAUAAGCCUGGGAAACUGGGUCUAAUACCGGAUAGGACGAUGGUUUGGAUGCCAUUGUGGAAAGUUUUUUCGGCGUGGGAUGAGCUCGCGGCCUAUCAGCUUGUUGGUGGGGUAAUGGCCUACCAAGGCGUCGACGGGUAGCCGGCCUGAGAGGGUGUACGGCCACAUUGGGACUGAGAUACGGCCCAGACUCCUACGGGAGGCAGCAGUGGGGAAUAUUGCACAAUGGGCGCAAGCCUGAUGCAGCGACGCCGCGUGGGGGAUGACGGCCUUCGGGUUGUAAACUCCUUUCGCUAGGGACGAAGCGCAAGUGACGGUACCUGGAGAAGAAGCACCGGCUAACUACGUG